GCGGGAAAGGGUUUCCUACCUGCUGCUGCAAGACAGGGAUUGGGAAAUCGGAGUGGACUCGGACUUGAAUCGGAUUGCCCCGGAAUCCAUCCUCUCUCUGUGAUAAGAAAAGAAGAUAAGGAUUUUUCACCAUGAAGAAAACAAUUGGUUUGAAAAGCACAAAGUAGGCCAGGCGCGGUGGCUCAUGCCUGUAAUCCCAGCAUUUUGGGAAGCCGAGGCGGGUG
rnacentral:lncRNA from 1 species